rnacentral:rRNA from 1 species
GACGAACGCUGGCGGCAGGCCUAAUACAUGCAAGUCGAACGUGUCGCGGACGGGUGAGGAAUGUCUGGGAAACUGCCCGAUGGAGGGGGUUAACUAUUGGAAACGGUAGAUAAUACCGCCUACCCUCGGAUGUGCCACGAUGGGAUUAGCUAGUAGGUGGGGUAACGGCUCACCUAGGCGAAGAUCCAUAGCUGGUCUGAGAGGAUUACCAGCCACCCUGGAACUGAGACACGUUCCAGACUCCUACGGGAGGCAGCGGUGGGGAAUAUGGGACAAUGGGGUCAAGCCUGCUGCAGCCAUGCCGCGGGUAUGAAGAAGUCCUUCGGGUUGUAAAGUACUUUCAGCGAGGAGGCGUUACUCGAAGAAGAAGCACCGGCUAACUCCGUGCCAGCAGCCGCGGUAAUUC